rnacentral:rRNA from 1 species
AGAGUUUGAUCCUGGCUCAGACCAAGCGCUGGCGAUGUGCCUAACACAUGCAAGUCGUACGUGUAAGUUCAGGCAUAGGAACGAGUAAAGUGGCGAACGGGUGAGUAAUCCAUAGGUAAUCUACAGCUAAGUUCGGGAUAACAGUUCGAAAGGUUUGCUUAUGCCGGAUAACAUGCUUAGUCAUAAGAUUUAGUCCAAAGGUGUCCUCUUCACAAUGCUAUCGAUUAUCAAUGAGCCUAUGGACCAUUAGUUAGUUGACAGGGUAAUAGCGUACCAAGACAAAGAUGGUUACAUGGUCUGAGAGGAUGCCCAACCGCACUGAGUACAACACG